rnacentral:tRNA from 1 species
GGGGGUGUAGCUCAGUUGGUAGAGUGCUUGCUUUGCAUGCACAAGGUCCUGGGUUCAAUCCCCAGCAUCACCA